rnacentral:rRNA from 1 species
AGCUUGCUACUUUGCUGACGAGCGGCGGACGGGUGAGUAAUGCUUGGGAACAUGCCUUGAGGUGGGGGACAACAGUUGGAAACGACUGCUAAUACCGCAUAAUGUCUACGGACCAAAGGGGGCUUCGGCUCUCGCCUUUAGAUUGGCCCAAGUGGGAUUAGCUAGUUGGUGAGGUAAUGGCUCACCAAGGCGACGAUCCCUAGCUGGUUUGAGAGGAUGAUCAGCCACACUGGGACUGAGACACGGCCCAGACUCCUACGGGAGGCAGCAGUGGGGAAUAUUGCACAAUGGGCGCAAGCCUGAUGCAGCCAUGCCGCGUGUGUGAAGAAGGCCUUCGGGUUGUAAAGCACUUUCAGUCAGGAGGAAAGGUUAGUAGUUAAUACCUGCUAGCUGUGACGUUACUGACAGAAGAAGCACCGGCUAACUCCGUGCCAGCAGCCGCGGUAAUACGGAGGGUGCGAGCGUUAAUCGGAAUUACUGGGCGUAAAGCGUACGCAGGCGGUUUGUUAAGCGAGAUGUGAAAGCCCCGGGCUCAACCUGGGAACUGCAUUUCGAACUGGCAAACUAGAGUGUGAUAGAGGGUGGUAGAAUUUCAGGUGUAGCGGUGAAAUGCGUAGAGAUCUGAAGGAAUACCGAUGGCGAAGGCAGCCACCUGGGUCAACACUGACGCUCAUGUACGAAAGCGUGGGGAGCAAACGGGAUUAGAUACCCCGGUAGUCCACGCCGUAAACGAUGUCUACUAG